rnacentral:tRNA from 1 species
GCGGGGGUCGCAUAGUCCGGCAAUUGCGCCGCGCUCAAGACCCGACCAAUCCCUUCGAGAGUUCGAAUCUCUCCCCCCGCA